rnacentral:rRNA from 1 species
AUUAAUCCAUGCAUGUCUCAGUACAGACCGAUAAACGGUGAAACCGCGAAUGGCUCAUUAAAUCAGUYGUAAUUUAYUGGAUCUCGAUUCAGUCUUACUUGGAUAACUGUGGUAAUUCUAGAGYUAAUACAUGCAACCGAGCUCCGACCCCGUUUCGGCGGGGAAAGGGCGCAUUUAUUAGACCAAAAACCGAUCCGCCUCCUUCGCGAUGCGGUCGUGAUGACUCUGAAUAACUCAGCCGAGCGCUCCGGUCUCUGGACCAGCGCCGUMUCCUCCGAGUGUCUGCCUUAUCAGCUCUAUCSUAAGCUAUGGGCUUACGAUGGCUGUAACGGGUAACGGGGAAUCAGGGUUCGAUUCCGGAGAGGGAGCCUGAGAAACGGCUACCACAUCUAAGGAAGGCAGCAGGCACGCAAAUUACCCACUCCCGGCUCGGGGAGGUAGUGACGAAAAAUACCGAUGCGGGACUCUUCCGAGGCCUCGCCAUCGGAUUGAGCUCAAUCUAAAUCCUUGGACGAGGUUCCAUUGGAGGGCAAGUCUGGUGCCAGCAGCCGCGGUAAUUCCAGCUCCAAUAGCAUAUAUUAAAGUUGCUGCGGUUAAAAAGCUCAUAGUUGGAUCUAUCGKCCGGACUGGCGGCCCGCUAAGGGCGAGACCACUGUCGUUGGGCUUUAUCGUCCUUCGGCUCGCGUCUAGCCUGGCGGCAAACUGUUCCAGCUCCGGAUCGUAAAAUCCGCCGGCGAGCGAGGGAUGCCUAGCAGUGUCCCGAGCGCCCGGCAAGUUCACUUUGAAUAAAUUAGAGUGCUCAAAGCAGGCAAAAACUUACGCCUGGAUGGUGGUGCAUGGAAUGAUGGAACAGGACCUCGGUUCUGCCCUGUUUGUUGGUCGGUUUCUUCGGAACCGAGGUAAUGAUUAAAAGAAACAGACGGGGGCAUUCGUAUUGCGACGCUAGAGGUGAAAUUCUUGGACCGUCGCAAGACGAACUACUGCGAAAGCAUUUGCCAAGAAUGUUUUCAUUAAUCAAGAACGAAAGUUAGAGGAUCGAAGGCGAUCAGAUACCGCCCUAGUUCUAACCAUAAACGAUGCUACCUGGCGAUCCGCCGGCGUCAUACCCACGACUCGGCGGGGAGCCUCCGGGAAACCAAAGGUUUCGAGUUCCGGGGGAAGUAUGGUUGCAAAGCUGAAACUUAAAGGAAUUGACGGAAGGGCACCACCAGGAGUGGAGCCUGCGGCUUAAUUUGACUCAACACGGGGAAACUUACCAGGUCCAGACACCGAAAGGAUUGACAGAUUGAGAGCUCUUUCUCGAUACGGUGGGUGGUGGUGCAUGGCCGUUUUUAGUUGGUGGAGCGAUCUGUCUGGUUGAUUCCGAUAACGAACGAGACUCUCCCCUGCUAAAUAGUCGUCGAAUCGACUCCCGAGACGGGUGCAGCGGGUGCCGUCUCUUCUCGACUCGGGCGUUUGCUCCCGUUGCCGCUCGGAGUAGUCUUGGCUUCGGUUGGGACCUUCGGUGCGUGCUGCGUGGGCGCGUUCGAUGUUCGAGGGAGUAACGUCCCCGUUCGCUUCCCAACGAGGGGCGUUCGUCGCAAAAUGUCUUCUUAGAGGGAUCGGCGGCGUUUAGUCGCACGAAAUGGAGCAAAAACAGGUCUGUGAUGCCCUUAGAUGUUCUGGGCCGCACGCGCGCUACAAUGAAGGGCGCACCGUGCCUUCCCCCUCCGAAAGGAGCGGGUAAUCCCUUGAAACCCCUUCCCGAUUGGGAUUGGGGCCUGAAAAUGUUUCCCAUGAACGAGGAAUUCCUAGUAAGCGCGAGUCAUCAGCUCGCGCUGAUUAAGUCCCUGCCCUUUGUACACACCGCCCGUCGCUACUACUGAUUGAAUGAUUCAGUGAGGGCAUCGGACUGGCGCCCUCGGUUUGCUCUCGGGUCAKCCUUCGGGCGCUCGUUUGGCACCUCGGGCUGACGGAAAGAUGUCCGAACUCGAUUAUUUAGA